rnacentral:lncRNA from 1 species
UUUGUUGUUCCGUGGCAACGCACGGGCACUAAACUAGUCAUCAUAAUAGACGUAUUUUUAGGUCUAAGUAAUUUUGGACGGAGGGAGUACAUAGUUAGCCUUUUACAGUAGAAUUAAUAUCCAAACUUUUCUACAGACUACAGGAGAAACAAAUAAAUUGUAACGAGAGCUUAAAGCCACCAUUGGUUCAGAGGAUUCAAAAAACGAAGAAAAGAAAAGAAAAACAG